rnacentral:rRNA from 1 species
AGCGGCGGACGGGUGAGUAAUGCUUGGGAACAGGCCUUGAGGUGGGGGACAACAUUUGGAAACGACUGCUAUUACCGCAAAUUGUAUACCGAGCAAACGAGGCUUCGACUCUCGCCUUUACAUUGACCCAAUUGGGAUUAUCUACUUGGCGACGUAAGGGCUCACCAAUGCGACUAUCCCUAUCUGGUUUGAGAGGAUGAUCACCCACACUGGAACUGAUAAACUGUCCACACUCCUACCGUACGCAGCUUUGGGGAAUAUUGCCUAAUGAGAGAAAUCCUGAUUGCCCCAUGCCGCGUGUGUGAAGAAGGCGUUCUCGUUGUAAAACACUUUCCAUCAUGACGAAAGGGUGUGAGUUAAUACCUCACAUCUGUGACGUUACUGACUCAAGAAGCACCCGCUAACUCCCUGCCAACAUCCCCGGUAGUACAGAGGGU